GAUGAACGCUGGCGGCGUGCUUAAUACAUGCAAGUCGAACGGAGACAAUAGCAAUAUUGUCUUAGUGGCGAACGGGUGAGUAACGCGUUGGUGACCUGCCCCGAAGAGGGGGAUAACAGUCCGAAAGGAUUGCUAAUACCCCAUGUGGUCAUAUGGAUUAGAUGCCUAAUGACUAAACGGAUUUAUUCGCUUCGGGAGGGGCCUGCGUCCCAUCAGCUAGUUGGUAAGGUAAUGGCUUACCAAGGCGAUGACGGGUAGGGGACCUGAGAGGGUGGCCCCCCACAAUGGAACUGAAACACGGUCCAUACACCUACGGGUGGCAGCAGUAGGGAAUAUUGGUAAUCUGGGAAACCGGGAACCAGCAACGCCGCGUGCACGAUGAAGGCCUUCGGGUCGUAAAGUGCUUUUUGAAGGGAUGAGGAAGGACAGUACCUUCAGAAUAAGCCUCGGCUAACUACGUGCCAGCCGCCGCAGUAAAAC
rnacentral:rRNA from 1 species